rfam:Dipodomys ordii contig_31326, whole genome shotgun sequence.
GGUGGCUCAGUGGUAGAGUGCUUGCCUUGCAUGCAUGAGACCCUGGGUUCCAUUCCUCAGCACCA